rnacentral:rRNA from 1 species
UACGGAGGGUGCAAGCGUUAUCCGGAUUCACUGGGUUUAAAGGGUGCGUAGGCGGUCCUAUAAGUAUGGUGUGAAAUCUCCCGGCUUAACUGGGAGGGUGCGCUAUAGACUGUGGGACUAGAGUGUGGGAGAGGAAAGUGGAAUUCCUGGUGUAGCGGUGAAAUGCGUAGAUAUCAGGAGGAACACCGGUGGUGUAAACGGCUUUCUGGACCAUAACUGACGCUGAGGCACGAAAGCGUGGGUAGCAAACAGG